rnacentral:rRNA from 1 species
GACGAACGCUGGCGGCGUGCUUAACACAUGCAAGUCGAACGGAAAGGCCCUGCUUUUGUGGGGUGCUCGAGUGGCGAACGGGUGAGUAACACGUGAGUAACCUGCCCUUGACUUUGGGAUAACUUCAGGAAACUGGGGCUAAUACCGGAUAGGAGCUCCUGCUGCAUGGUGGGGGUUGGAAAGUUUCGGCGGUUGGGGAUGGACUCGCGGCUUAUCAGCUUGUUGGUGGGGUAGUGGCUUACCAAGGCUUUGACGGGUAGCCGGCCUGAGAGGGUGACCGGCCACAUUGGGACUGAGAUACGGCCCAGACUCCUACGGGAGGCAACAGUGGGGAAUAUUGCACAGUGGGCGGAAGCCUGAUGCAGCAACGCCGCGUGCGGGAUGACGGCCUUCGGGUUGUAAACCGCUUUCGCCUGUGACGAAGCGUGAGUGACGGUAAUGGGUAAAGAAGCACCGGCUAACUACGUG